GACGAACGCUGGCGGCGUGCUUAACACAUGCAAGUGGAACGGAAAGGCCCUGCUUUUGUGGGGUGCUCGAGUGGCGAACGGGUGAGUAACACGUGAGUAACCUGCCCUUGACUUUGGGAUAACUUCAGGAAACUGGGGCUAAUACCGGAUAGGAGCUCCUGCUGCAUGGUGGGGGUUGGAAAGUUUCGGCGGUUGGGGAUGGACUCGCGGCUUAUCAGCUUGUUGGUGGGGUAGUGGCUUACCAAGGCUUUGACGGGUAGCCGGCCUGAGAGGGUGACCGGCCACAUUGGGACUGAGAUACGGCCCAGACUCCUACGGGAGGCAGCAGUGGGGAAUAUUGCACAAUGGGCGGAAGCCUGAUGCAGCAACGCCGCGUGCGGGAUGACGGCCUUCGGGUUGUAAACCGCUUUCGCCUGUGACGAAGCGUGAGUGACGGUAAUGGGUAAAGAAGCACCGGCUAACUACGUG
rnacentral:rRNA from 1 species